UAUGGGGUGCCUGAUAAAAGGAUUAUUUUGAUAGAAUAAAUUAUGCAUUCAACAUGCCCUCAUUA
rnacentral:tRNA from 1 species